AUACGUAGGGGGCGAGCGUUGUCCGGAUUUACUGGGCGUAAAGGGUGAGUUAGGCGGUUGUAUAUGUCAGGUGUAAAAGGCACAGGCUUAACUUGUGUUAGCACUUGAAACUGUACGACUUGAGUGCAGGAGAGGUAAGCGGAAUUCCUAGUGUAGCGGUGAAAUGCGUAGAUAUUAGGAGGAACACCAGUGGCGAAGGCGGCUUACUGGACUGUAACUGACGCUGAGUCACGAAAGCGUGGGUAGC
rnacentral:rRNA from 1 species